CUGUCACAUUUUUAUUAUUAACUUUCCUGUUGAGUUGUUCCUUCACUGUGGAUUACAGUGAAGAGUAAUGAAAUAUCAAUAUGGUUAAGAUUUUUUCCACAAAUCCUGAAUCUUUGAGCAGACUCACCAUACAUGGCAUUAAUUUGCAUUAGGGAAACCACAUCUUCAACACCGGAAAUCUUGUGUAUAGUAGAACUUUGC